UACGAAGGGUGCAAGCGUUGUUCGGAUUUAUUGGGCGUAAAGGGUGAGUAGGCGGAUAGGAAAGUAAGGUGUGAAAUCUCGGGGCCCAACCCCGAAACUGCGCCUUAAACUAUCUAUCUAGAAUCCCGGAGAGGGAAGGGGAAUUUCGCAUGUAGGAGUAAAAUCCGUAGAGAUGCGAAGGAACACCGGAGGCGAAGGCGCCUUCCUGGAAGGGUAUUGACGCUGAGGCACGAAAGCGUGGGGAGCAAACAGG
rnacentral:rRNA from 1 species